UGAAUUGUAAACAAGGGUGUUGCUGGGUCCUCAAAUGGGGACAUGUGCACACUCUGUUCAUACAUCCAAUCACACCUGUGCACCCUCCGCAGUUCUGUGGUCAGAGGGGGGCUUUGCCUUCCUGUGCUGUGGUUCUGCUUCUUUACACAUACACACUGUAACAAAGUCUUGUGGAAUGUACACUGCGUUUAACGCAAUACAAUACAACGUUCAGCAACGGAUCUCUUGGCUCUCGCAUCGAUGAAGAACGCAGCGAAAUGCGAUAAGUAAUGUGAAUUGCAGAAUUCAGUGAAUCAUCGAAUCUUUGAACGCACCUUGCGCCCUUUGGCCAUUCCGAAGGGCAUGCCUGUUUGAGUAUCAUAAACACCUCAACUCCUCAUGGUCUUCCAUGAUGAGCUUGGACUUUGGGGGUUUGCUGGCCCAUUUGGUCAGCUCCUCUCAAAUGAAUCAGCUUACCAGUGUUUGGUGGCGCCACAGGUGUGAUAACAAUCUACGCUUGAGGCUUUCCACCAGGCAACCUUCAGUAAUGAGGGUUCACUGGGGCUCACAAAUGUCUUUCUUCAGUGAGGACAGC
rnacentral:sRNA from 1 species